rnacentral:pre_miRNA from 1 species
AGAGUCCUCGGCCUUCUCUACCCAGUUCUUCCCAUAGUCGGGGAAAAGCUGGGUUGAGAGGGCGAAAAAAAAAAAAA